GAUGAACGCUGGCGGCGUGCCUAAUACAUGCCAGUCGAGCGAACAGACGAGGAGCUUGCUCCUCUGACGUUAGCGGCGGACGGGUGAGUAACACGUGGAUAACCUACCUAUAAGACUGGGAUAACUUCGGGAAACCGGAGCUAAUACCGGAUAAUAUAUUGAACCGCAUGGUUCAAUAGUGAAAGACGGUUUUGCUGUCACUUAUAGAUGGAUCCGCGCCGCAUUAGCUAGUUGGUAAGGUAACGGCUUACCAAGGCAACGAUGCGUAGCCGACCUGAGAGGUGGAUCGGCCACACUGGAACUGAGACACGGUCCAGACUCCUACGGGAGGCAGCAGUAGGGAAUCUUCCGCAAUGGGCGAAAGCCUGACGGAGCAACGCCGCGUGAGUGAUGAAGGUCUUCGGAUCGUAAAACUCUGUUAUUAGGGAAGAACAAAUGUGUAAGUAACUAUGCACGUCUUGACGGUACCUAAUCAGAAAGCCACGGCUAACUACGUG
rnacentral:rRNA from 1 species